rnacentral:lncRNA from 12 species
AUGGCUCUCUGGACGGGAGUAAAGGAAACAAAGGAAAUUGAGGAACCGUGGUACUUUCCAUUGCCUUUUUUUCUUUUUCUGAAGGUGUAUGCUGGAGGCCUGAUUGUGCAAACUCGUGUGUGUGUGUGUGUGUGUGUGUGUGUGUGUGGUUUUCUCUUGGUGAUCCCUCUUUUUCCAGGUGACUCUGUGUGCACUGCCCCGCUGGGGGCCCGGGGCCUCGAUCCAGCGUGCCCUGCAGCGCUGCUGGCAGGCUGGGGACAAAAGCAAGGGUUGGUGCAAAACAAGUGCAUCCAUCAUUUCAAAUAGUUAUUGAAAGAGUUCUCUUUCAGUCGUUUUAAAAUAAUGGUUUCUUUAAGUUGCUUUUAAAAAAGAUUUUUAACUGGCUAAUUAGAAGCCAGAUUCUGUCUUUUUAAUGAAGAAUUUCCAUCAGAACUUCUGCAUUUAGAGUAAUGAUAUCCUUAAAAUUCAGUGGUACAAUUAGGGCAUAAAACCAGCACUUCUAAUUAUUUGUGGAAAAAGAAAUGUUACAUUAAUAUAUUGAAGGCUACUGUUUACUGUAAUCACCUGUUUGUUAACUUUACAAAGGUUUUCUUGAAACUCUAUGGAAAUGCUAAGAGGGAGAAAGCUGAGCAGCCUCAUUUGCAGAGGUUCAAAUUAUAAUAAGUCACUGAGCUCAAGGAUGGAGAGCAAGUGCACAAAUUAGAAAGCAAACAAAUGUGCAAAGCUUCUGCUUCAAGAGGUUUCAAUUUGGGCGUACUAUAGUGGCAGGUGAAGUCUCAUAGCAUGCUCCUGUCCUUUCCACAUGAACUGCCCUUAGCAGGAAACAACUGAGAGAGAUCCAGUGUUCAGAAGUCAGUCAGUGUCACUGAACAGUACUAGAUCACAUUCGAAAAGAGCAGAUUGGAUUUUCCUUGUUUAUUGUGAACUGCUUUUAUGGAUGGCCAUAAGUUCUUGUAACAGGUGGUGGGGUGGCCAGAUGUGGAGAGCUGGGAAAAGCAAAGCUAAACCUCUGCCUCCACUGAGUUCAAUGCCUAGCACCUUGUAUAAACUGCUGGCCCACACCCAAAGGCCUCCAGAGCAGAAAUUAUCUCACACCUGAGGAAUCAGGCAACUAGACUAAGGCUCAUAAGGAUUUGCUUUUAGACUUCAGACCAAAAGGGGUGUUUAAACCUGAAAAACAGUACGAUGCCACAGAACGGCACCACUCACCCUGUUACUCAUAUCUGGCUAACAGGAAUAUAGUAAAAUUAAAUAAAGCAUCUGGUUGGUGAGCCCUUCAGCGCUCCUCAAGAAGGCAGAAAGUGAAGAGAGACUUAAGGGGGACUCACUGUGUCAGAACCCAUUUUUUUUUCUCUUAACCCUGGCAAAUGAAUCUGUUUUCAUACAUUUUUUGUACAAUUUUACACAUAGAGGAGCAUGCACGUGGCUGUUUCAUUUACUGCCCACAACAUUCUGUGGGUUUUCUAUAUAUUCUUUAUUUUUCUACUCAGUUUGCUGCUAAAAAUGUGUUUGCAUUCUCAUGUGAUGCCUUUAAUUCAGUCAAAAGGGAAAUAUGAAAAUAAGAUCUGUGAUCAAUAAACAGCUGAAUAUGAACACAAAAUAAAUAAGUUAAAUAAAUUUAACAAAGAAAAGAAUUCUAGUAGUUUUUGUAA